UCGCGGAUUUAGGGCUCAUCGCUAUAGUUCUUUGUGCCCUUUCUCAAUUGCCGUAGCGAUGGCGCCCCAAUUCGUUCUCCUCAAGCUAGCUAUGGAGGGAUGAACAACAAACAGCGCUAGGACAAGCUCCGAGUCCCCUUCCUUCUCUGGAGCCUGGAGGAAUUGCUAGGCUUCAUCGCUCAGAGGAUUGGUUCUAUGGGCAUGCUAGUAAUCCUGUCAUAAACAAAGAGCAAAGCCACCCUACACAAGCUCUUAUGACUUGGUGCCAGAAUAAAAAUCAGGGCAUGGAACUAGCAUAGAUCAAGCGGCAGCUUUUAAAAUGUGAAUAUGAGUUUAUGCCAUUUCAGAUCUGGUGUUGAUAAGAUUUUUUGUUGGCUAUUCAUAAUAAAUUUUGGUAAUCAAGGAAUCAAGGAAUUUUCAUGGCCUUUGGAUCUCAACCAAUUCUGGCUUUCAUUGGAGACUACAAAACCAUAAGGCAAUGGUAUUGUAGAAACUAUUGAAAGAUGUGAAGAGCGUUAAGAAGAAUGCAUUUGGAGAACACCUAAGACACCUCCUGCAGAUCCUUCCUCUGAUGAAUUGGCAUUUGGAGUUGACAAGAUGGAUGAGAAGCGCACUUCAUAUGUAAAUGAGAUGCAACUGAAGUCGGACUCCUUGCCUUUUUUAAGUGUUCAGGUAGGAACUCAUUAGGAUGAGAAAUGCUGAAAUUCCUACAUGCUACAAUCAGGUGUAUGGAAUCACUGAAAGCAUUACAAUUUGGAUUUCAUCCAAAAUUUCACAGAUGAAAAGAAUGAUAUCUGCAGAGGAAGUGCACAUCAAUCAGGUAUGGCAUGUUUAAUGCUUUGUUACCCUUCAUCAGUGCUGACAAGAAAACAGAGUUUUUGAUUUGGAUGCAUAAUUCAUUUCAAGUUUAAAUUAGGAUUAGCAUGGGGGAAAAAAUAUCAAACAGCAAACAAUCAUUAGUGAAUGAGUAGUCUAUUGAUGAGUUUGAUGAGACCAUGACUUAACACCACUCAAAAAGAAAACAAAUAAAUGUGUACCAAUCAAAGCAAUUUGUUCUAAAAGCAUUGUCACCUCCUCCACUCAAUUGUCAAUGCUACUCUUUUUUUUUUUUCUGCUCUUAUCUUGUCACUUUUUUAUUCUUAAAAGAUGAUUGGAAGUAUACCAAAUAUGAAACGUAGAAGUAGAAUCAAUCUUAUUUCUUUGACUCAUUUUGGUCCAAAUUGGCCCCAUGAUGAGAACAUCAGAGCUAGUAUACUAUUAAGCAUACACACCAGUCCCAGAUAUGGCCUUUCCUCACUUCUAUUCAUAAUCUUUUUUGAUAGCUACUCAACCAAUAUACUGUACUAUAUAUGAUUUGUAGACUCACAACUCCACUAAGUAAUUUGAACUUUGAAGAAUCUAGAAGAAGAACUAGAAACCAGCAACAAAACGCUAAGGAGAAAAUUAGAAGAAGAAUAGGGGGGAAUAUUCAUAGUUUCUUGGUUUGUGUGGUUUUUUUACUUUUUUUUCCUUGGUUCUUGCAACAUUAUCCAAUGAUAUUCAAUAUGAUCCAUUUUAUUUAUUUAUUAUUUGUUGACAAAUGCCAUAAGUGUUGUUAAAAACAUCUACACACGAGCCCAAUGACCAUUUGGUCUAUUGGCAUCGGAUCCCUCGUGUAGGUUGUUUGCCUCGAGUGCCGAGCAUGGCUUCUCGAGUUCGAUCCCCAUCUCGCACAAGGUGAGGCAUGGUUCGGUGGUGAGUGUUGCUCUCUCAUGUGUUCGUCCCUGAGUUCCGGCACUUGUCGCCUUUCUCAAACAAAAAAAAAACAUCUACACGAGUCGAGAAUUGAUUGUUUAGCCUAUGUGAUUUUACACAACAACACAUAAUUUGAAUUGUCAGUCCAUACUCACAAUUGGAGAUUUGGUAGUAAAGGAUUUGUUAUUACUACCGCUGGGCUUGAAUUUUUCACACCAACACCUACUGUUGGUAUGAAUAUUUGACAAUAUGAUAUAUUUUAUUC